rnacentral:misc_RNA from 1 species
CUCUCUCUCUCUCUCUGUGUUUGUACGUAGAUAGCAGGACGCUUCGUUACUUAAUAAUAAUAGAGAUCUCUUAAUAACCUCAAGGAGGAUUGUCAUAGAGGUUCCUAAUUGUGAUUAGUUUACUUUCCUUUUGUUAGAUUGAGGAUAAUGCUUUUGCUAUGUCAUGUUAAUAUUUCUUCUUGGGUCUCACUUUUGUUUAAGUUUUUUAUAAUAUAAUUUAUGUUCUUCUUCAAAUGCCUAUUCUUAAGGUUUUGCUUUGAUGGGAUAAGGAAUUUUUUCUUAUGGGAUGUUGGGUUUAGUGCAUAGUGUUUGUGUCAAUAUUGGGUUUAGUUCUAUUUUGAGAAUUCGAUUCUUUAAUCGGUUUGGCCUAUUUGAGUUAUAUUUUGUAUGCAGCAGCAGUGUGAAACAUUGUUGUUUGAUUUAAUUUUAUGGAUGUCAUGUCACUGGAAGAACCAUUGAAACUAAUCCAAUGUCAAAAUACAAGUGCAACUUUUAUUUAUUUUAGAGCUGAUGAAAUCUUCUUACUAGAUGCAGUUUUUAUUAUUUAUCUUUUCUGGAUAUGUCCUUAUGUUACUUGCAUUUGAAUGUAAAUAACAUACAUCUUUCCUCCUGCUUUACAUAUUUUUAAUGUUAAUUUGAUUUUUGUUAACCUUUUCAAUAGUUUGCAUUUGGAAGAAUGGUG